CGGACAGUGUCUGGUGGGUAGUUUGACUGGGGCGGUCUCCUCCUAAAGAGUAACGGAGGAGCACGAAGGUUAGCUAAUCCUGGUCGGACAUCAGGAGGUUAGUGCAAAGGCAUAAGCUAGCUUGACUGCGAGAGUGACGGCUCGAGCAGGUGCGAAAGCAGGUCUUAGUGAUCCGGUGGUUCUGAAUGGAAGGGCCAUCGCUCAACGGAUAAAAGGUACUCCGGGGAUAACAGGCUGAUACCGCCCAAGAGUUCAUAUCGACGGCGGUGUUUGGCACCUCGAUGUCGGCUCAUCACAUCCUGGGGCUGAAGUAGGUCCCAAGGGUAUGGCUGUUCGCCAUUUAAAGUGGUACGCGAGCUGGGUUUAGAACGUCGUGAGACAGUUCGGUCCCUAUCUGCCGUGGGCGCUGGAGAAUUGAGGGGGGCUGCUCCUAGUACGAGAGGACCGGAGUGGACGCAUCACUGGUGUUCGGGUUGUCAUGCCAAUGGCAUUGCCCGGUAGCUAAAUGCGGAAGAGAUAAGUGCUGAAAGCAUCUAAGCACGAAACUUGCCCCG
rnacentral:rRNA from 1 species